rnacentral:ncRNA from 1 species
AAAAGAAAAAACCUGCAGUCAAAAUUACUGCAGGUCCUUUUAUUUUUAUGAAAAAUAAAAGGCUAAAGGGAGAGGAGAAACCGGAUGAAGAGCUUAUGGGGAAGAAUAAGCCUUCUUCCGUUU